GAUGAACGCUAGCUACAGGCUUAACACAUGCAAGUCGAGGGACGGGCGCACGGGUGAGUAACACGUAUCCAACCUGCCCUUUACUCGGUGAUAGCCUUUCGAAAGAAAUAAUAAUACCCGAUAUAAAGGAUGGGGAUGCGUUCCUUUAGGUGGUGGGUGAGGUAACGGCCCACCAAGCCUUCGAUGGUUGGGGGUUCGGAGAGGAAGGCCCCCACCAUUGGAAAUGGGACACGGUCCAAACUCGUACGGGAGGCAGCAGUGAGGAAUAUGGUUCAAUGGGCGUUAGCCUGAACCAGCCAAGUAGCUUGAAGGAUGAAGGCUUAUGGGUCGUAAACUUCUUUUAUAUAAGAAUAUGUAUUAUAUGAAUAAGGAUCGGCUAACUCCGUGCCAGCAGCCGCGGUAAUAC
rnacentral:rRNA from 1 species